GCCCCCUUAGCUCAAUGGACAGAGCAGUGCACUCCUAAGGCAAAGAUGGCAGUUCGAUUCUGCCAGGGGGCA
rnacentral:tRNA from 1 species